UAGUAUAUUUUCAUCACUUCAUGCAAAUCUAGUGCAUUACCUGUGUCUCUGAUCUAUAGAGGAUUUUCAGCAUGCUGCAAUUUGGUUUUGUCGUGACAUUUGAACUGUUAUGUGUAUGCUGAAGCCUGAAAGGUUGUUCUGUGAAUUUCGAGUUUGCGAAUUACACAAUAAUCACAAGCAAAUGCAAAGGACCCAAUUAUCCACCCAAAGAAUGUUGUGGGGCAUUCAAAGAAUUUGCAUGCCCUUACGCCGAUGUGUU